GGUGACAGAGUAAGGGGAUGACUGGUGGCAGAGUGAGGGGGUGACUAGGGACAGAGUGAGGGAGGGAGGGGGUCACUAGUGACAGAGUGAGGGAGGGGUGACUGUCACUAGUCACUCCCUCCCUCACUCUGUCCCUAGUCACCACCUCACUCUGUCCCUAGUCACCCCCUCCCUCACUCUGUCACUAGUCACCCCUUCCCUCCCUCUGUCACUAGUCACCCCUUCCUUCCCUAACUCUGUCACUAGUGACCCCUUCCCUCACUCUGUCACUAGUCACACCCUCCUUCUCUCUG